AGAGUUUGAUCAUGGCUCAGAACGAACGCUGGCGGCAGGCCUAACACAUGCAAGUCGAGCGCCCCGCAAGGGGAGCGGCGGACGGGUGAGUAACGCGUGGGAACGUACCCUUUGCUACGGAAUAGUCCCGGGAAACUGGGGGUAAUACCGUAUGUGCCCGAGAGGGGAAAGAUUUAUCGGCAAAGGAUCGGCCCGCGUUGGAUUAGGUAGUUGGUGGGGUAACGGCCUACCAAGCCGACGAUCCAUAGCUGGUUUGAGAGGAUGAUCAGCCACACUGGGACUGAGACACGGCCCAGACUCCUACGGGAGGCAGCAGUGGGGAAUCUUAGACAAUGGGCGGAAGCCUGAUCUAGCCAUGCCGCGUGAGCGAUGAAGGCCUUAGGGUUGUAAAGCUCUUUCAGGGGGGAAGAUAAUGACGGUACCCCCAGAAGAAGCCCCGGCUAACUCCGUGCCAGCAGCCGCGGUAAUUC
rnacentral:rRNA from 1 species